AUUUGUCACACUCUUUUUGACUGUUAAUCUUUUUUAACCAAGUUUAUGUUCAAGCUAAAAAUGUUACUGAUAUUUUAGAUGAACAGAAUGAAGACGGAUCGUAUGCACCUAAAAACGAUUCCAAAAAUGCACUGUUACUUGGAUUGAAAAAUGAUAGCUUUUAUGAACCGGAAUGUGACUGUGGAUUCGGUUCAAAUGGAUGUCGCUAUAAUGUUUAUGGAGAAAAAGUUUGUGACUGUAGUGUUGAUUAUGCUCAAAACAAUGGCAGGUGUGAACACUGUUAUUGUGGAAUCCUAGCUAUCUCCUGUGAAUUCGAAAAUAAUAAAAAGAAGUGUUUGUGUUACUCAAAGUAUGCUCAAAAUCCUUACGAUCAAUGUGAAAGAUGUGAUUGUGGAUAUGAUGCAGAAGGUUGCCAUUUCAAUGGAUUCUCGAAGGUGUGCGUUUGUAGAGGGGGGUACAUAUAUGCAUCUAAUAAAUGCGAAUUGGAUGUAAUUAGUGGAUGGAGAAUUGCCACUUACAUUGAAUCUGCAAUUUUUGCCAUGAUCAUUAUCGUCUGCACUAUCAUAAUUUGCUGCAAAAGGUUUGCACCACAGAUCUCUUUUAUGUACUGGAUUGCUGAUUCAAUGAUUCGAACUUGAUGCCGGCGUUGGCGAAGAACUUCGGUGAGUUGAAGUAUACAGGGUAUCCAGAAUUCCAACGUCAUCACUCUCUCAUUUGCAACAUAAUUUUCACCUUUAAAUCAUCUGUCCACUAUUUCUUGUGUGCAUAUUGUUGUGCGUUAUCAGUUAUUUUAUUAGUUACUGGAACAUUAC